GCCGCCGGGCACCACGGGGCUCGUAGUCCGGGCUAGGGCCCGGCCGGGGGAGCGCGGAGGAAGGAGAAGAUAAGGCAGCAGAGGUGAACACCAGAGAGCACACAGAGUUCCAGAUGUCGAUCCUCAGAGAAUCCAUGUAUGACUGAAACGAUGGAUAAUCUGUUGGCUCAGCUCCAGCUUGGUGGAACCUGCUGGUUGUUUCAGGUUAAUGUACAAAAAGGCUGCCUCUGAGCUGAGACCACUCGCCGGGCAAGGGACGUGCCUGUGCCCCUGAGCUGUCCUUUUCAGGACAGCUUCUACAGGGUAGUCGUGGCACCCCCUGCCAUUGACCCAGUCACAUCAAGUGGCGCCCAACAUGGGGCAUCCGAAGAGCCCCUGAAGAAGUGUCCGCCUGCAGUUCUCACUGUGGUGUGUGCCGCUGUUGGGACUGCCACUCCCUUGCGUUUUAGCAAGGGGCAAUCUGAAGGGUAUCGACCGGGACCCUCAAUGAUCAUCUGGGGCAAAGGAAGAGAGCCCUUGAGGACCGGCUGUCCAUUUUCCAUUGGAAAACCUGCCCAUCGGUUUUCCAUUGGCCCAGCAGGCAUUGGCCUGAAGAAAAUUACCAGAAAGAUUGUUAUUGAGCCUUCCACAAAGCUGAAAUAAUGCUGUGUGUUAAAAAAUGUUAACAAUCCGAAGAAGUUAUAAAAAUUUAUAAGUUGACUGAAUACUUUGGAAAUUUCUGCAUAUUUUAAUAUAAAUAGGUGCUGCCAGCAUGUGGAGCUGAGAGCAGUGAAAGUCCAAAGGACUGGGGCACCAGAGGAGGUCACCAGGAGCUGUCAUGACUGCAGGACAUAUAUAAGCCCUGCAGGAAAGAGAAAGGGAGAAUGAUUCAUUGGUUGAUGCAAGCCUCUGUAGGUAUGAAGAACACUUGUCCAUUCGUAAUUGAAACUAUUCAAGAUGCAUGGGCCUGAAAGGGCAUUAUAAGUUUCUCAUGCUCUCUGGUGUAGUAAAGAUCUUGUCUUCUAGCAAACAUUAUGAAUGAAAGAUUUUCUUACAAGGAGAGAUGGAGUAGACUGAAUCAAGCCUCUGUCAAGAACCACUUCUGCAAUACUGAAUUAACAUACCCAAGACCGGCACAUCAGGAAGAUAGCCUUCUACCAAGAAUAGUGUGGAGAUACACUUUGUUCACAGAAGGAAACAUCAUGAGACUCAGACAGAUACAGUGCAUCCUCCGAUUGCAGAGAUGUUGCUGCUCUCUGAGCACUGCACACUCUGUGUUCAUGACUGAUGAAAAUAAUGCCCAGUUUUGGGGGAGAUUUGUGUUAUGGGAGACAGUAACAGCUGCUCUAAUAGGGUGGCUUAUCACUUUCUUGUGGAGACAGGUUCUAUCAUCUCAUUAAAGCAAGCCCUGCCCGUUCACCUAGAUUCCUUCCCAGGCAGCUACAGUGGAUCUGCUCACCAAGGGAAUUUGUCCCACUGGAUUCCAUUUUUUUCUGUGCAGUUGAAUGAAAAGUGUGUGUCUUUUGAAGAACAGCAACUGAAAGAAAUAUUGAUGACUGCCAGGGUAUCUACAGAAAAAGAUAUGAAAAUUACUCUACUACAACAGUGAAGAAAAAUGGGCUUUGUUAACUCUUUCUUGUAGGUUGUAUAUAUUAAUAGGAACAAGUAAAGUUUUGUAUUUUUUCAGAGAAAUACACAAGGCCUUGAAUUGUAUUGUUUUAAUUGCAGCUAACUGAAUGAAUUAAGUGGAAAAACGCACACAGUACUUUGAUUGUCUAAUUCUCUGUAUGUGAGGCUUCGGGAACAAUUUGUUACUAUAAAAGAACAGCAGUAACCAGAAAUCAGCCGACAUGUAAUUGCUAGGCAGAGGGGCAGUUUGGGGAAAGCUGAUACUUAUUUAUAAAUUAUUAAAUAAAAGCACAUAAUAUGAGGAUCAUCUCUCACUUCCUCCACACUUCAUACAUUACUCAUCUUCCUAAAUUUCAUGGUUUUGUACUCCCUUAGUACAUUGCUGCUUAUAACCAGUGCAGGCAUCAAAACCACCCACAUCCAGGAAAGGAGAUGCCUGUGCAUUUGUAAUGCUGGCAGUUUUGGUUAUGGGACUCAUCAAAGAUUAUGAACCUUCAGUUAAAGGAAAGGAAUCUUGACUCAAGUUUUAAACAUUGUUUUCAGUACCUAAAAUACACCUGAGUUCCUGGGACUGUUCAGAUGGCUGAAACUCUGGCUGGUGUUUCCACUUGACUAUUUACCUUUAGAGAUUUACAGCUAGCCAGUACCCUAAAUAGAAGACUUAAGAGCAAUUUUUGCAUUACAUUUGACAGAGUUCUCAAAAAAAAAUUGUUUAUGUAAUUCACAUCAGUUUUGGUAAGAAUUGGGUAACUUCUGGUUAUCUUGAGUGGUUCUCACUGCUCACUUGUGCCUUACUACCAUAGGAAACAGCCAUUUGCAUAGGAAACAGAGAGGAGGUAGGUGGUGAUUGGACUCAUCAAGAAGGUAGAGCAGUGUUUUAAUUCUCAGUGUUUUUGGCUAUUUCAGCCCUCCUGUAGGAUGGAGCUGCCAUUAGUUCCUUUAGCACAAAUUUGGGCUUUUUUCUAGGAAAGCAAGGUCUAUUUCAGAGCACACAGUAGCAGUUCCUUGUGCCAUGUAACAAGGGGUUGGGUAAUGUCUGGGCUCACAAGUGAGAAGCAUGUCUUACAGACCAAGAGGCCCUUUGUGAUCUGCAGAAGAGAGUCUGUGGAUAGGAAGGUGUGCCAGCACCUGGGGAGUUGGCAUUGCUGGACACAUCUUUGGACUUGCUGAGCUGCUAUAUAUGAUGCAAUUUGUGCCAUACAAACAAAUCCCACCAUUAGACCACUUAAACACUGUUUAUGCAACUUCAAAAUGGUAGAGGCUUAAUUUUAUGACCUCAUCUGCAGGUUUGUUAUAUGUCCAUGCUGAAGUGGUGUGAAGAUUUAAUUGCUAAUCCUAGUUACCAGUGUAGACUGUUGCACAGAAGGUGCCUGAGAGGUGGAACUGGGCAGAGUUUAGCUUUGCGCAGCUCUUGCCAAGAGUUAUUUGGUAUCCCUGUCACUGUUUUUUGAUAUCAAAGAAUAUUUUCCCCCAAAUUACUUAUUUUUAUGCAAAAGAACACAGCUGCAUUUAUGAAAGGUCUUGGAUUUUACAGUAUGUCUGGUUUGUGUAUAUUGUCUGCAUAAGUACCAAUAGCCAUAAUGAAAAACACAGUGUUGUUACAGGGAUUUUUAACAGUGGUUUUUAGUAGUUUAGAAAGCAUUGGAGCUAAUUACAACAAAUGAAAAAAAUCAAAACAAAGCAGCUUUGAAAAUGUUGAUACAAUUUGGCAAAUGAAUCUUUGGUUUUAACUCUGCUCUAUUAUUUCUCUGAUACUAAAACCAGUAUAAAGCAUUAUGGAUUUCAACCAGCUCAACAGAAGAUACAGUAUGGCUUUCAGCCCACUGUCCCCUCCACUGGGGGGCUAAAUCUUGGCUGUGCUCUUGUGAAGCCUUUGGCUGCAUGUUCUGAGACAGCCUCUAUUCAGUGCUUGUGUGCAGUGUUAAAGCUGUCUUCACUGCACCUCUUUCUCCAGCACGACAUGGGAAGUUUCCUAGAUUGAAUUCUCAGUCACAAAACUCAUAUGGAAGCCACUUAAAAUGUAAGACCUUUCAAACCCUUGUGAGUUCACAGCAUUUAAAGAUAAGAGCACAGUAUUGCCAAGAAAUGUGUCUUGUUGAGGCCCACAAUUAACUUUAUCAAAAGAAGGAAUCUUAUUUUUGCCUGCUACAGAUAGAGGUUGCAUCUCAAAGCAGCCUAAAGUUAGAGAUAGCAUCUGGUUCAGAUCACGAUAUGAUGAAAGAUUCAGGUUAAUUAGUAUUUAUUCUUAGUUGAUAGUUAUUCCUUUUGGCUUGAGCUAACAAGCAGGAGUUGGAGUCCCACAAAGUUGCAUCUCCUGGGAUGAGAGAUGAGUGAGGGAGACAGUCUCCAUGGUGAAAAUGUAUUUAGGGAUGGGGAUGUCAGUAAGAAAGACUGGCCAUUGCCUUGGUUUCUGAUGGCCUGAAGGGAGGAUGCUCUGAGGGAUGGCUAAGUGCCAGCAGUGGGGAUUGGAUGUAGGCAUGGGCUGAGGCAUCCCACGGGGCCAUGGACAGUGGGAGAUGCCCUGGUUCUCUGCUCAAUCCAAUGCCCUCACAUGUUCACACAACCCCUUUCUGCCACCAGUUGCCCUAACUGGGUGGUUUUGGCCACAGGGAGCAGUCAAGGAGAAACUGUGAAGGUGGGUUCUCAGAGCACUUCCACUGCUUUCAGUUCCCCUUUCUUGCCACUGUUUCCUGCAGCACCGCACAGGCUCUACCAGCAAAAACACCACACCACAGUGUAAGGGCAGUUGUUCAUCUUGGGAUUGUUUUUUUUCCCUGAGGUCUCCUAAUUGCUUAUACAGCCAGGAGGAGCCUACCAGGUGGAGAGCAGCUUUCCAUGCUUUUUCAGUUCCCAUAUUUAUACUCUUUUUUUAAAAUCACUGUUAGCAUUUAGUUGGAGUUGAGACAUUUCUAGCAGGAUCUCCUGUGUAUCUGGGCAGAGUUGCUCUUCUCCAGUAAUCUCAUGGACUGUUUUGUUCCCUCAGGUACUCAAAGAGAAGAUAAUUUCUACAUUGGUAGGAAUUCUCUGGCUUCACGGGUUCUAGUGGCCUGGGCAAGGCAGUCCCAUAGUGGCAGGCACUGGGCCUCCUGCCCUACAGCCAUAUGGUUCCACUUUCCUGCUCUCUCACAUGACAGUCUGAGUUCCCCCAGCAGAAAGAAGAGAACACUCCUUCCUGUUACAUAUGUGAUGAAAAUGGCAAGACAGCUGUGGAUCUGCAGUAAACUCCAAGCUAUGUGGCAGCUACACGUAAGCUCAGAAAUUAAGCUGUUACUAUGAAAAGCACAAAGCUUAGAAGUAAUUUAUUCCUUGUGUUUGUUCCUCAUGUUAACUGCUGGAACAUAAAUUCAGUUUUGUGCUGUGCUCAGAUGCAGUCUUUUCCAUAGACUAAGUGUUCUUCAGGUUCACUGGACAGAAUGGGCUCUGUGUUGAAGGUAUAAGGAAGCUGGAUGAGCAGGUGUGGGAGAUGAAGUCAGGAGGUUUGGCCACCCUGGAAAGCACUGGAGCUGGGUUACAGUUAUGAGAUGCUAGAAUUGAAAGAAGUUCUCAGUGUGCCUUUUCCUUUCCCUUUCUUUUCCCUUUUCCUUCCCUUGAAGUCUAAGACCUUGGAUUAUUAAUUCCUGCUCUUUGUUGUUCCAAAGAGAUGGUGGUCCUCCUGCAGCCUUUGCGGUGUCUCACAGCUCCAAGAGAGCACAGACCAGCAUUUGGAAGAUGACACUUUCCCACUGCACCGAAUGCUUUACUGUUCUGCAUGAAUGAUGUACACAGUGUUGGGGUAAAUAUAUUAUUUUUCACCAGAAAUACCCCUCCAGUGCUGUGACCCUGCUUUGUUUGGAAAGAGGUAGAAGAGAGGGAAAUACAGAAUCUGCCGUCUCCCUGCUAGGCUUUCCUUUCUUCAAAGAACCAUCAGAGCAGCCCAUUACUUUCACAUAUUGCCAGUACGUUGUUGCAGGCUGGGUCUUAGGGCCCUGUCUGACCCCCAGCUUCCGCUGGCAACAAGGCCAGAUAAACAUCCUGGGGGAGAGCCACCAUCCGGGGUUUCCUGGCAGUCUCCAGCCAGGGGUAACCUUUAGGGGCAUGGGCAGGGGUUUUAGGUGACCAGCUCUUUCAGCAGCAUUUUCUGCUCUGUGAUCAGCUCUGUUCAGCCUAGCCAGCUCCUUUCGUGGUCCCCCUGCCGACGCAGACAAGAGACGGAAAGACCAUAUAACAUUCUGCAGAGUCUUUAAUGCAGGCUUCUGUGAAGGGGGCCAGUGAUGGUCUAACCCUGAACUGGGUAAAAGCUGGGGUUUUUAUAGGGAAGGGGAGGGUUGGGAAGGGAACCAAUGGUCUGAGAGGGGAUAAGUUGACCAAUAGUUAACAGGGAGAUAACAUGGGCUCCUGAAGCAGGAAGGGGUCCACAGCUUAGUCAUGAUGACUAGGCAGUUUUAUCUUAUCUUAGGGGACAGAUCUCCAGGGAGGAUGCCUGUCGGAGGACUGGGCCUCUCCACAACUCCUCUCUCUGUAUUUAGUAAAAAGCCAUUCACUAUAGCUCUUUUGAAGCAAUGAAGAAGGCAUGAGAACGUAGCUAAUACAACAAUAAUCAAUAAAAGUCCACAAAAUUCCCUUAACUAAAGAUGACACCCAUCCCAUUAGUCCCCAUUGACUGAGAAGGUCAUUGACCCAGCCCAGGGUGUUUUCCACUUUUAAGUCCUUCACUAGUUCCUUCAGUUUCUGGAUGUUCACGUGGACGAAUUCUGAAAUUGAAGAGAGGUUGAAGCAGCACAUCCAUUCAAAGUCCUUGCAGCCAUGUCCGAGUAGUAGGAAGUCGAUUGCUACUUGAUUCUGUAGAUAGGCGUGUCUAGUGGUCUCCUCAUCUUUUAAGAGAUCACUCAGGGCAGCAGAUGUUGCAUUGGCCUGCUUGCUAAGCCAACACCCCAGGUGAUUUAUGUCACCAAGGGCUUUAGCUGUGGCUACCCAUGGGUAAAACAGUGAAGCCACAACUUGCUUUCCUAGGUUCCAAUUGUAAAUUUGGCUGUCGCAAUUUUCAUUGAAUUCUGAACAGGAUUUUUCUUGACAUGCCAGUUUGGUUUUUUGUUUCCAAUUAUGUAACAAUGUGAUAUUUGGGGUGAGGAUAGAAAGCUUGCCAAAGCUACAGAGACUCCUCUGGAGACGGGAGGGGAUUCCAGCCCAAACUCCAUCACCACAGAUAAAAACAUUCCCCAGGGCAACACUUUGGGGUGAAGAGAGGACACAGAAAGUGUGCUGCUGGCGUAAUUACACCAAUUCAAAUUAUUGUAGGCUUUGCUAAUUGGUGAUACAUCUUUGAUGUUUUUUGCCUGGUCAAUUCCUGGCCAAUGAUCACUUGGUCAUCUAAAAUAAAGUUUGACACAGUAUGUUGCUUUGGAGGACCCCAGCAGGUCCAAUUCUUGGGGUUCCUCCAGAGCAUUUGGCAGAAUUUUUGUCCACUCAUGCCAAGUGUCUACCGGAUUGGGUCUCUUAGCUGUGGUGUGGAGGAGCUCUGAAUUAGAGAGGGGCCAGUCAGUCAUCUGCUACCAAGGGAAUCCCUACCGGACACGUGGAAAGUGGGUUGUCAACACUGCUCAUAGAUAGACACAGGUUAUCUUCUUUCACUGUCCUUGCUAAGGUCACCCAAACAUCAUGGUUAGGCUGUGGGCUAAUCCAGCCGAAGGUGGGUGACAUGGUGAAGAGCAUCCAGGCAGCAGUGAGAACAGCACCAACGGAGAUAAUUUUCAUCUUUAGACAAGGAUGGGGCUUCUCACAGGGAAUAUGAGCAAGAUUUGUUAUCCUUAUGGUGGAAGGGGGAGGUUUAGGGUUUUCUCCCUUGUCUCUUUUCUCCAUUCUUUCCCCCCCUUUUUCUAUUUACUAAAAACUGAGGAUGGGGGAGAUGGUAUAGGGUUCAAGAAGGUUAUGGCAUGGGUUGAGGAAUGGGGACACGAGUGUUUUUAGGGAAAAAGGGUAACAACAUAUAAACCAGGCAACAAUUUGUGGCCAGGCUGCGUCUGGCCUAUGGCUUGGCUGACUGCAGCAGCAUCUUGUUCAGUUUUCUGUUUUGUGGGCUGCCGUGUGGCGGGAUGGUCUUCUCUGUGUUUUGUGGAUGCUCGGCGAUGCCUCCGUUUCCAUGCUGAGGUGGUUCGUUUUGUGUAGGUCUUGUAUUUGACUGAGGAGGAUUCUUGUUAGUGUCCGUGGGGGCAGUGUUUGCAGUGCCGGAUGCCGGGUUUUGCAGGGGAACAGCGGCAGUAGCUGUUGCUAUGGCAGCAGAAGC